GAACGCUCCGCAAGGAGAGUGGCGCACGGGAGAGUAACGCGUGGGAAUCUACCUUUUGGUUCGGAAUAACACCGGGAAACUGGUGCUAAUACCGGAUAAGCCCUUCGGGGGAAAGAUUUAUUGCCAAAAGAUGAGCCCGCGUUGGAUUAGCUAGUUGGUGAGGUAACGGCUCACCAAGGCUACGAUCCAUAGCUGGUCUGAGAGGAUGAUCAGCCUCACUGGGACUGAGACACGGCCCAGACUCCUACGGGAGGCAGCAGUGGGGAAUAUUGGACAAUGGGCGCAAGCCUGAUCCAGCCAUGCCGCGUGGGUGAUGAAGGCCCUAGGGUUGUAAAGCCCUUUCGGCGGGGAAGAUAAUGACGGUACCCGCAGAAGAAGCCCCGGCUAACUUCGUG
rnacentral:rRNA from 1 species